UACGUAGGGUGCGAGCGUUAAUCGGAAUUACUGGGCGUAAAGCGUGCGCAGGCGGUUUGUUAAGACAGAUGUGAAAUCCCCGGGCUUAACCUGGGAACUGCAUUUGUGACUGGCAGGCUUUGAGUGUGGCAGAGGGAGGUAGAAUUCCACGUGUAGCAGUGAAAUGCGUAGAGAUGUGGAGGAAUACCGAUGGCGAAGGCAGCCUCCUGGGCCAACACUGACGCUCAUGCACGAAAGCGUGGGGAGCAAACAGG
rnacentral:rRNA from 1 species